CCUACGGGCGGCAGCAGUGAGGAAUAUUGGUCAAUGGGCGGAAGCCUGAACCAGCCAAGUCGCGUGAGGGAAUAAGGCCCUACGGGUCGUAAACCUCUUUUGCCGGGGAAGAGUAGAAGACGGUACCUGACGAAUAAGCCACGGCUAACUACGUGCCAGCAGCCGCGGUAAUACGUAGGUGGCAAGCGUUGUCCGGAUUUACUGGGUGUAAAGGGCGUGUAGCCGGGUUGACAAGUCAGUUGUGAAAUCCUGCGGCUUAACCGCAGAACUGCAUUUGAAACUGUUGAUCUUGAGUACUGGAGAGGCAGACGGAAUUCCUAGUGUAGCGGUGAAAUGCGUAGAUAUUAGGAGGAACACCAGUGGCGAAGGCGGUCUGCUGGACAGCAACUGACGGUGAGGCGCGAAAGCGUGGGGAGCAAACAGGAUUAGAUACCCCUGUAGUC
rnacentral:rRNA from 1 species